rnacentral:rRNA from 1 species
GAAUGCUGACAUAAGUAACGAUAAAGCGGGUGAAAAGCCCGCUCGCCGGAAGACCAAGGGUUCCUGUCCAACGUUAAUCGGGGCAGGGUGAGUCGACCCCUAAGGCGAGGCCGAAAGGCGUAGUCGAUGGGAAACAGGUUAAUAUUCCUGUACUUGGUGUUACUGCGAAGGGGGGACGGAGAAGGCUAUGUUGGCCGGGCGACGGUUGUCCCGGUUUAAGCGUGUAGGCUGGUUUUCCAGGCAAAUCCGGAAAACCAAGGCUGAGGCGUGAUGACGAGGCACUACGGUGCUGAAGCGACAAAUGCCCUGCUUCCAGGAAAAGCCUCUAAGCAUCAGGUAACAUCAAAUCGUACCCCAAACCGACACAGGUGGUCAGGUAGAGAAUACCAAGGCGCUUGAGAGAACUCGGGUGAAGGAACUAGGCAAAAUGGUGCCGUAACUUCGGGAGAAGGCACGCUGAUAUGUAGGUGAAGCGACUUGCUCGUGGAGCUGAAAUCAGUCGAAGAUACCAGCUGGCUGCAACUGUUUAUUAAAAACACAGCACUGUGCAAACACGAAAGUGGACGUAUACGGUGUGACGCCUGCCCGGUGCCGGAAGGUUAAUUGAUGGGGUUAGCGGUAACGCGAAGCUCUUGAUCGAAGCCCCGGUAAACGGCGGCCGUAACUAUAACGGUCCUAAGGUAGCGAAAUUCCUUGUCGGGUAAGUUCCGACCUGCACGAAUGGCGUAAUGAUGGCCAGGCUGUCUCCACCCGAGACUCAGUGAAAUUGAACUCGCUGUGAAGAUGCAGUGUACCCGCGGCAAGACGGAAAGACCCCGUGAACCUUUACUAUAGCUUGACACUGAACAUUGAGCCUUGAUGUGUAGGAUAGGUGGGAGGCUUUGAAGUGUGGACGCCAGUCUGCAUGGAGCCGACCUUGAAAUACCACCCUUUAAUGUUUGAUGUUCUAACGUUGGCCCGUAAUCCGGGUUGCGGACAGUGUCUGGUGGGUAGUUUGACUGGGGCGGUCUCCUCCUAAAGAGUAACGGAGGAGCACGAAGGUUGGCUAAUCCUGGUCGGACAUCAGGAGGUUAGUGCAAUGGCAUAAGCCAGCUUGACUGCGAGCGUGACGGCGCGAGCAGGUGCGAAAGCAGGUCAUAGUGAUCCGGUGGUUCUGAAUGGAAGGGCCAUCGCUCAACGGAUAAAAGGUACUCCGGGGAUAACAGGCUGAUACCGCCCAAGAGUUCAUAUCGACGGCGGUGUUUGGCACCUCGAUGUCGGCUCAUCACAUCCUGGGGCUGAAGUAGGUCCCAAGGGUAUGGCUGUUCGCCAUUUAAAGUGGUACGCGAGCUGGGUUUAGAACGUCGUGAGACAGUUCGGUCCCUAUCUGCCGUGGGCGCUGGAGAACUGAGGGGGGCUGCUCCUAGUACGAGAGGACCGGAGUGGACGCAUCACUGGUGUUCGGGUUGUCAUGCCAAUGGCACUGCCCGGUAGCUAAAUGCGGAAGAGAUAAGUGCUGAAAGCAUCUAAGCACGAAACUUGCCCCGAGAUGAGUUCUCCCUGACUCCUUGAGGGUCCUGAAGGAACGUUGAAGACGACGACGUUGAUAGGCCGGGUGUGUAAGCGCAGCGAUGCGUUGAGCUAACCGGUACUAAUGAACCGUGAGGCUUAACCUU